rnacentral:tRNA from 1 species
CCCCUGCUGGCUCAGUCAGUAGAGCGUAUAACUCUUGAUUGUAGGGUUGUGAGUUCAAGCCCCACAUUGGGUA